UAAUAUCCUUGUCAUCAAAUGGGUUAAGUCACAUAAGGUCCAAUCAAAGGCUUGCUAAGGAGUGAGCACUAAGGUGAGUGUAAGUUGAGGGAGGUGGAAGAGCACUAAGGUGAGUGUAAGUGGAGGGAGGUGGAAGAGCACUAAGGUGAGUGUAAGAUGAGGGAGGUGGAAGAGCACUAAGGUGAGUGUAAGUGGAGGGAGGUGGAAGAGCACUAAGGUGAGUGUAAGAUGAUGGAGGUGGAAGAGCACUAAGGUGAGUGUAAGUGGAGGGAGGUGGAAGAGCACUAAGGUGAGUGUAAGUGGAGGGAGGUGGAAGAGCACUAAGGUGAGUGUAAGUGGAGGGAGGUCGAAGAGCACUAAGGUGAGUGUAAGUGAAGGGAGGUGGAAGAGCACUAAGGUGAGUGUAAGUUGAUGGAGGUGGAAGAGCACUAAGGUGAGUGUAAGUUGAGGGAGGUGGAAGAGCACUAAGGUGAGUGUAAGACGAUGGAGGUGGAAGAGCACUAAGGUGAGUGUAAGUGGAGGGAGGUGGAAGAGCACUAAGGUGAGUGUAAGUGGAGGGAGGUGGAAGAGCACUAAGGUGAGUGUAAGUGGAGGGAGGUGGAAGAGCACUAAGGUGAGUGUAAGAUGAGGGAGGUGGAAGAGCACUAAGGUGAGUGUAAGACGAUGGAGGUGGAAGAGCACUAAGGUGAGUGUAAGUUGAGGGAGGUGGAAGAGCACUAAGGUGAGUGUAAGUGGAGGGAGGUGGAAGAGCACUAAGGUGAGUGUAAGACGAUGGAGGUGGAAGAGCACUAAGGUGAGUGUAAGUGGAGGGAGGUGGAAGAGCACUAAGGUGAGUGUAAGUUGAGGGAGGUGGAAGAGCACUAAGGUGAGUGUAAGUUGAUGGAGGUGGAAGAGCACUAAGGUGAGUGUAAGUGGAGGGAGGUGGAAGAGCACUAAGGUGAGUGUAAGUGGAGGGAGGUGGAAGAGCACUAAGGUGAGUGUAAGUUGAUGGAGGUGGAAGAGCACUAAGGUGAGUGUAAGUGGAGGGAGGUGGAAGAGCACUAAGGUGAGUGUAAGUGGAGGGAGGUGGAAGAGCACUAAGGUGAGUGUAAGUUGAUGGAGGUGGAAGAGCACUAAGGUGAGUGUAAGUGGAGGGAGGUGGAAGAGCACUAAGGUGAGUGUAAGUGGAGGGAGGUGGAAGAGCACUAAGGUGAGUGUAAGUGGAGGGAGGUGGAAGAGCACUAAGGUGAGUGUAAGUGGAGGGAGGUGGAAGAGCACUAAGGUGAGUGUAAGUGGAGGGAGGUGGAAGAGCACUAAGGUGAGUGUAAGUGGAGGGAGGUCGAAGAGCACUAAGGUGAGUGUAAGUGAAGGGAGGUGGAAGAGCACUAAGGUGAGUGUAAGUUGAUGGAGGUGGAAGAGCACUAAGGUGAGUGUAAGUUGAGGGAGGUGGAAGAGCACUAAGGUGAGUGUAAGACGAUGGAGGUGGAAGAGCACUAAGGUGAGUGUAAGUGGAGGGAGGUGGAAGAGCACUAAGGUGAGUGUAAGUGGAGGGAGGUGGAAGAGCACUAAGGUGAGUGUAAGUGGAGGGAGGUGGAAGAGCACUAAGGUGAGUGUAAGAUGAGGGAGGUGGAAGAGCACUAAGGUGAGUGUAAGACGAUGGAGGUGGAAGAGCACUAAGGUGAGUGUAAGUGGAGGGAGGUGGAAGAGCACUAAGGUGAGUGUAAGUUGAGGGAGGUGGAAGAGCACUAAGGUGAGUGUAAGUUGAUGGAGGUGGAAGAGCACUAAGGUGAGUGUAAGUUGAGGGAGGUGGAAGAGCACUAAGGUGAGUGUAAGUGGAGGGAGGUGGAAGAGCACUAAGGUGAGUGUAAGAUGAGGGAGGUGGAAGAGCACUAAGGUGAGUGUAAGUUGAUGGAGGUGGAAGAGCACUAAGGUGAGUGUAAGUGGAGGGAGGUGGAAGAGCACUAAGGUGAGUGUAAGUGGAGGGAGGUGGAAGAGCACUAAGGUGAGUGUAAGUUGAUGGAGGUGGAAGAGCACUAAGGUGAGUGUAAGUGGAGGGAGGUGGAAGAGCACUAAGGUGAGUGUAAGUGGAGGGAGGUGGAAGAGCACUAAGGUGAGUGUAAGUGGAGGGAGGUGGAAGAGCACUAAGGUGAGUGUAAGUGGAGGGAGGUGGAAGAGCACUAAGGUGAGUGUAAGUGGAGGGAGGUGGAAGAGCACUAAGGUGAGUGUAAGAUGAUGGAGGUGGAAGAGCACUAAGGUGAGUGUAAGUGGAGGGAGGUGGAAGAGCACUAAGGUGAGUGUAAGUUGAUGGAGGUGGAAGAGCACUAAGGUGAGUGUAAGUGGAGGGAGGUGGAAGAGCACUAAGGUGAGUGUAAGUGGAGGGAGGUGGAAGAGCACUAAGGUGAGUGUAAGUGGA